rnacentral:tRNA from 1 species
GCCGAAGUGGCGAAAUGGUAGACGCGCACGGUUCAGAACCGUGUUCCGUGAGGAUUGGAGGUUCGAGUCCUCUCUUCGGCA